ensembl:lncRNA
UUACUUCUGCCUCUCACUCCCACCCGGAUCAUUACCCAUGUGAAUACCUGUAUGGAAACCUCUGUUUCCAGCCCUGCUUUUGGAGGAAAUAAGACACUAUGCCUGAACAGACCAGCUGCUUCUCUCAUAUUUACUCAAGAGUGUAUGAUCUGCCAGGUCUCCGGGAGCUGUGGGGAGUUCAUGCAGGCAAGAGUGAUGAGUGGCAGCAGCCCUGGGACUUGCAGAGAGCCACACAGAUGGGGUCAUGCCUGUCCUGGGGUCUUGGCUGAGGUCGCUUCCCAUCUAAAGAGGAAUAAGGUCUGGAGGAGGAGUUGCCAGGCCCUUGGGGACAUCAAGGGUCCUGCUCAUUGAAUCAUCCAAGUCCCCUGACUCUGGUAGGGCUUCCCUUAGAGCAUAUUCACUGUGCCUGUCAUUUAGAACAGAUGGUUUUCUGAUGAAUUUAAUUACAUCAUUAGCAACCAGGCUACACAAAUGAGUGAUUUGAGAGCGACUGGGAAGCUGGGAGCCUCCUAGCUGGGCAGCUGUUCCCAGGACUGGCUGAGCAUGCCUUUGCAGUGGGCUCCUUCCCAUCCCCCACCCCAGGCUGCCCUAGUCACGCCCAUAGAAUGAGCUGCCCUCUCUCAUCCCCAGGCUUUCCCACCAGCCCUUCCUAGAACAGAUGGAAAUGAGUCUCUUGGGUGUCUCCAGCUGAUGUGGAUUUCACAGCGGGCGGCGGAAGGAAGUGAGGGGGAGCAGAUAAGCCACCCCUUCCCACGGCCACUUGGGAGGCCACACUGGUUGUUCAGCUGUCCACCCUCACUCCUUGUGAAAGGCGUGGGGCUUGACACUGGGAGCUCCAUUCCAGUGGAGUUCUGAAGACCGAGAAUUCCAAGGUCAAAGUGCUAGCUGAUUUGUGUCUGUUUUCCAUGGGCUGCUAAUCCUGUCCUUCAUGCCGCUCAAGCCACUGAAAGAACCAAUGGGAAGGGAUUUAAGCCUGCCAGAAGAAAAAGGAGCCAAGAGGCUGGCCCUGGCUUGGAGCUGGAGCUGAAAUGGAUGUGGAGCUCAUCAGUGGAAGCCUUGCAUCAGGGAUCUCAGAGCCUAUGAUGGAGACACUGCUUGUGUCAAUGUGCAAAGAGACUGAUCAGCCCUCUAAGUGGGGCCCCACAGACAAGAACCUUCGGGCAAGAACACAGACUCACUGAAGCACCAUCGGAGAUGGCAAAGCGCUUUUAGAGUUUCCCUCGACAGUGGGCUAGUAUGACUUUCUCCCAGUGUCCUUACUCAGGGCUCCCUGUGGCUUUGAGCAGCCUCGGUAGCUGGUGUUUGCCAGGCAUGGGUGGGGAGGCCCACUCUUGCUCUCCCAGUGUCCUGAGAUGCUCUGUUCCCUUGGUGGGGUCAGGGGAGAGAAAACUUUCUCAUGGCCUCAGUGGAUGUCGGCCCUGGAAAAUGCUCCAGAGAGGGUUUAGUCCAGCUCUCCUCAUUUGGAGUAGCUGAGUCUCAAUGAAGGGAAAUACCUUCCUGUGAGAACCCCAAAGUGGUGACUCAACACAUCUCUGAGCCCUCAGGGCUUGCAUUAUUGCUCUGAAGGUAUCUGAAGAACACAGAGCGUGAGGGGUGCCCUGCUGCCUACAACACACAGAGAGAUCUGCCGAGGGACCAAAGGAAAAAACUAGCAGUGAAUAAGCCAUCCAUUCUUGCUGGAGCCAUUUUCCCACGUCAGGAGCAGACUGUGCGGAAAAAUUUAAGUUUCUCCUUUCAUGUCGCCUUUCACUGCUCUCUGGACAGAAUGCUUUUCUUUCACUCCUUUUCUUUGGCUGGAUCCUCACCAAGCCAGUAGAAAAAGAAUCUUUUAAGAACAUAUAUAUCUAUCCAUCGAUAUACAUUC